rfam:Macrostomum lignano uti_cns_0012482, whole genome shotgun sequence.
GGGGUACUAGCUCAAAUGGUAGAGCGCUCGCUUAGCAUGCGAGAGGUACAGGGAUCGAUGCCCUGGUACUCCA